rnacentral:tRNA from 1 species
GGGCCCGUGGCUUAGACUGGAAAGGCCAGUAUUGCUGGCUUUGGUCUGUUAUAGCGCCGCUCUGAUAAGGCGGAUAUCGCGUGUUCAAAUCACGUCGGGCCCACCA